GAAAGGCGCGCGAUACAGGGUGACAGCCCCGUACACAAAAGCGUAUGUGCUGUGAGCUCGAUGAGUAGGGCGGGACACGUGGUAUCCUGUCUGAAUAUGGGGGGACCAUCCUCCAAGGCUAAAUACUCCUGACUGACCGAUAGUGAACCAGUACCGUGAGGGAAAGGCGAAAAGAACCCCGGCGAGGGGAGUGAAAAAGAACCUGAAACCGUGUACGUACAAGCAGUGGGAGCCCCACCACUAAGCCAGUGGUGAACUCCACAUACGCAUCCUUUGCUGAGGAUACGGUUAACGGAGCGAAAGCGACGUUCAACCGCAAAAGAAGCAGAGGGGGCUUAGUGGUGGGGUGACUGCGUACCUUUUGUAUAAUGGGUCAGCGACUUAUAUUCUGUAGCAAGGUUAACCGAAUAGGGGAGCCGGAGGGAAACCGAGUCUUAACCGGGCGUUAAGUUGCAGGGUAUAGACCCGAAACCCGGUGAUCUAGCCAUGGGCAGGUUGAAGGUUGGGUAACACUAACUGGAGGACCGAACCGACUAAUGUUGAAAAAUUAGCGGAUGACCUGUGGCUGGGGGUGAAAGGCCAAUCAAACCGGGAGAUAGCUGGUUCUCCCCGAAAGCUAUUUAGGUAGCGCCUCGUGAAUUCAUCUCCGGGGGUAGAGCACUGUUUCGGCUAGGGGGCCAUCCCGGCUUACCAACCCGAUGCAAACUGCGAAUACCGGAGAAUGUUAUCACGGGAGACACACGGCGGGUGCUAACGUCCGUCGUGAAGAGGGAAACAACCCAGACCGCCAGCUAAGGUCCCAAAGUCAUGGUUAAGUGGGAAACGAUGUGGGAAGGCCCAGACAGCCAGGAUGUUGGCUUAGAAGCAGCCAUCAUUUAAAGAAAGCGUAAUAGCUCACUGGUCGAGUCGGCCUGCGCGGAAGAUGUAACGGGGCUAAACCAUGCACCGAAGCUGCGGCAGCGACGCUUAUGCGU
rnacentral:rRNA from 1 species